UACGUAGGGUGCGAGCGUUGUCCGGAAUUAUUGGGCGUAAAGAGCUCGUAGGCGGUCUGUCGCGUCGGUCGUGAAAACUUGGGGCUUAACCCUGAGCUUGCGGUCGAUACGGGCAUGACUGGAGUUCGGUAGGGGAGACUGGAAUUCCUGGUGUAGCGGUGAAAUGCGUAGAUAUCGAGAGGAACACCUGCGGCGAAGGCGGGUUGCUGGGCUGACACUGACGCUGAGGCGCGAAAGCCAGGGGAGCGAACGGG
rnacentral:rRNA from 1 species